rnacentral:rRNA from 1 species
CCUACGGGAGGCAGCAGUGGGGAAUAUUGGACAAUGGGGGCAACUCUGAUCCAGCCAUGCCGCGUGUGUGAAGAAGGCCCUCGGGUUGUAAAGCACUUUCAGUGAGGAAGAACGCCUGGUGGUUAAUACCCAUCAGGAAAGACAUCACUCACAGAAGAAGCACCGGCUAACUCCGUGCCAGCAGCCGCGGUAAUACGGAGGGUGCGAGCGUUAAUCGGAAUUACUGGGCGUAAAGCGCGCGUAGGUGGCUUGAUAAGCCGGUUGUGAAAGCCCCGGGCUCAACCUGGGAACGGCAUCCGGAACUGUCAAGCUAGAGUGCAGGAGAGGAAGGUAGAAUUCCCGGUGUAGCGGUGAAAUGCGUAGAGAUCGGGAGGAAUACCAGUGGCGAAGGCGGCCUUCUGGACUGACACUGACACUGAGGUGCGAAAGCGUGGGUAGCAAACAGGAUUAGAUACCCUAGUAGUC